UACAGAGGUCCCAAGCGUUGUUCGGAUUUACUGGGCGUAAAGGGAGCGUAGGUGGCAGAUUAAGUCUGACGUGAAAGCUCUGAGCUUAACUCAGAAAUGGCGUUAGAUACUAGUUUGCUUGAGGAUUGUAGAGGAGAGUGGAAUUCACGGUGUAGCAGUGAAAUGCGUAGAUAUCGUGAGGAAGACCAGUUGCGAAGGCGACUCUCUGGGCAAUUCCUGACACUGAGGCACGAAAGCUAGGGGAGCAAACAGG
rnacentral:rRNA from 1 species